CACGGGGGGAGCAAGCGUUGUUCGGAAUCACUGGGCGUAAAGGGCGUGUAGGCGGUCAAGUAAGUGGAAUGUGAAAGCCCCCGGCUUACCCGGGGAUCUGCAUCCCAAACUGCUUGGCUUGAGUACGGGAGAGGAUAGGGGAAUUCCUGGUGUAGCGGUGAAAUGCGUAGAUAUCAGGAGGAACACCGGUGGCGAAGGCGGCCUGCUGGGCAGUUACUGACACUGAUGCGCGACAGCGUGGGGAGCAAACAGG
rnacentral:rRNA from 1 species